AAGAAGAUGAAAAGGAGGAAGGAGGAGAGAGAGGAGGGGGAAGAGAGGAGAAAAGGAGGAAGCAGAGGACGUGGGGCAAAGGCUUAUUCCUGAGAGACAGACACAAAGCACACCCUAACUCCAGGAGACCAGAGAGGCAUGUGGCACCUUAGGGAGGAGCUGGCUGGGCUUCUGUCCAUCUGCAGAGGCUCAUGGGACACAGGCUGAGGUUGACAGGGCCAAACCGUGUGCACUCCAUACUUGGAGACUAGACAUCACAAGGGUACUAAGAUUGCAGGCAUAUGAACCAUAGCAGGAGGGGUCUACAUAGGACAUAAUGCCAUUAUGGUGAGUGACUGCCACACUUUCCCAGGCCAAAGCCAUUCCCACCUCAUGACCGUUCAGUUAAGGGUGUUGGGACAACGGGCAACUGUAGUCAUCUAAGGCAAGCCUUUGAGCCUUUGCACACACUGUUCCCUCAUAUCCCAGAAUGUCCUUCCCCACAUCCCAGAAUGCCCCUCCCCAUAUCCCAGAAUGCCCCUCCCCACAUCCCAGAAUGCCCUUCCCCACAUCCCUUCCUACCUGUGUGUAAGGCUGAGGAGGGUCUGCAAAGUUUCUCCAGCCCUGAUGGAGCUGAGGUGUGCCUAUCCCUCGCCCAGGCACUCACAGCCACCGAGCAGCCUACAAGGCGAUGACAGUCAUGACUGCUGCCCAGCAAUUCAGUCAUGUGUUUCUGAAGGCCUUGGGCUGCCCCUGUAGCUCCCCAGUCACUGCCCUUCAGGAAGGAAGGGACCCAGAGAGCUCCAGAAGAAAACUUCCUGAGCCGCUGAAGAGGGACGUCUGACAGCCUCGUUCCGGGUUCAGGGGAGACCCUGUGUCAAGGGAGUAAGACAUGGACAUGUGCAGCACACACACAUGCACACUGAACACACACACAUGCACACUGCACACAUACACAUGUACACUGCAUACAUACACAUGCACACACAUGCAUACUGCACACACACACAUGCACACACACACAUGCACAUUGCACACACACACCAUUCACUCUCGCACAUACACAUCAUACACACAUACUGCACACUCAUACCACAUACACAUCACACACAAUCACUCAUACGUGCAUACUACACACACACAUGAAUGAACACAUCACAUACAUACACACACAUGCACACAACACACACCAUACAUAUACCACUCACAUACACAUGCCCUCUGCACACACACACACAUACACCAUUCACUCACACACAUACACAUCAUGCACACAUACUGCACCCACACGCACACAUCACACAAUCCACUCACACAUGCACACUGUACACACACACACACACACAUGUACACAUGCACGCAUGCGCAUGUACACACACACACACACCAUUCACUCACACACAUGCACAUCAUAUACACAUACCGCACACACAUACCACACACACAUCACACACAAUCACACACACUCAAGUGCCCUGAUACAUGCAAACACACAUACACACAAACAGGCACACACGCACAGCCAGUCAGCCCAGCUGGCUCUCAUAAAUACGUACAGUGCUAGGUCUCUUGGACCAUAAACUCUUCUCCUGUUCCUAGUUCCAGGGGCAGCCUGGCCCAUGGGGAAGAGAUGAACAGUAAGAAAGUGGGGUGGGGAGUGCCAACCUGAGGUUGGCCCACCAGGUCUGCCACAGUCAGGCCUCCAGCCUGUUCACUGAGCGCCUCCUCUGGCCAGAAAGAGAAGCGCACCCUGCCUCACUCACCCAUGGCACAGGGUUCCUGCAGCCUUGAGGUACAGGCCUUUAAUUUUUAUGUGUGCUUAGCCACUUGUCCUAGUGAGGAAAUAAUUUAAUUAACUCUGAGAACUGUAAUUAAUUUUAAUUGUUCAUGGUAAUUCAUUGCUGAAUACUCUACCAAAGGUGGUGGCUUCUCUCAGGCCUCUGGGAAGGAUGCUGUGGUCAUCCACUCUGCAGCAGGCAGAGGAGAGAGUAGCCACCACCACAGCACAGCUGCCACGGGAAGCCCUGUGUACUCCUCUCUUCUGACCUGGCCACACAAUGACCUCACAGUGACCUUGAGAAUGGAGGUUAAUUAGGUCAUCGCAUUAGUCGACAUUCACCACACCCUCUGCCCACACUAACUGCUGACACAGGAGCCAUUCUGGAGACACGGACAAAGUGCUGACCCCCAAAGGUAUGAGAAGUGGCGAGUCCCGAGGGUACCUGGGGAAAAGAGGAUGCGAGUCCACCCUCCCUCUGGUCUUAGCCUUUGGAGUCAGGCCAGGAGAGGAGGAGCUGCAGAUCCGAAGCCCAGCCCCAGCACCCACAGAGGAUUGCCGCCGCCACUGGACCCUCAGUAUUUAAAUCACCCAUUGACUUAAACAAUCAUACCCUGCCUCUGCUUUGAGAAUAAAGGCCCCACCACCAUGG
rnacentral:lncRNA from 1 species